GCAUGCUGAUUAAUUCGAUGCAACGCGAAGAACCUUACCAAGGCUUGACAUGCCGGAUCGCCUCAGAGAUGGGGUUUCCUUUGGCGGUGCACAGGUGGUGCAUGGUUGUCGUCAGCUCGUGUCGUGAGAUGUUGGGUUAAGUCCCGCAACGAGCGCAACCCUCGUUCUAUGUUGCCAGCACGUGAGUGGGGACUCAUAGGAGACUGCCGGGGUCAACUCGGAGGAAGGUGGGGAUGACGUCAAAUCAUCAUGCCCCUUAUGUCUUGGGCUUCAAGCAUGCUACAAUGGCCGGUACAGAGGGUUAAUCCCAAAAAACCGGUCUCAGUUCGGAUUGGGGUCUGCAACUCGACCCCAUGAAGUCGGAGUCGCUAGUAAUCGCAGAUCAGCACGCUGCGGUGAAUACGUUCCCGGGCCUUGUACACACCGCCCGUCAAGUCACGAAAGUCGGUAACACCCGAAGACGGUGGCCUAACC
rnacentral:rRNA from 1 species